rnacentral:rRNA from 1 species
GAUGAACGCUAGCGGCAGGCCUAACACAUGCAAGUCGAGGGGCAGCACGAUAAAGCUUGCUUUAUUGGUGGCGACCGGCGCACGGGUGCGUAACGCGUAUGCAACCUACCCUGUACUGGGGGAUAACCCGGAGAAAUUCGGACUAACACCCCAUAGUAAUAUACUUUCGCAUGUUAGUAUAUUUAAAGGUUACGGUACAGGAUGGGCAUGCGUCCUAUUAGCUAGAUGGUGAGGUAACGGCUCACCAUGGCGAUGAUAGGUAGGGGGCCUGAGAGGGUGGUCCCCCACACUGGUACUGAGACACGGACCCGACUCCUACGGGAGGCAGCAGUAAGGAAUAUUGGUCAAUGCCCGGAAGGGUGAACCAGCCAUCCCGCGUGAAGGAUGAAGGGGCUCUGCCUUGUAAACUUCUUUUGUAUGGGGCGAAAAAAGGGGAUUUAUCCUCGACUGACGGUACCAUAAGAAUAAGCACCGGCUAACUCCGUG